rnacentral:rRNA from 1 species
UACAGAGGCCUCGAGCGUUAGGCGGAAUCACUGGGCUUAAAGCGUGUGUAGGUGGAUGCUUAAGUACCUUGUGAAAUCCCACGGCUCAACCGUGGAACUGCUCGGUAUACUGCUUUUCUUGAGCCACUUAGGGGCUACCGGAACAAAUGGUGGAGCGGUGAAAUGCGUAGAUAUCAUUUGGAACGCCAAUGGUGAAAACAGGUAGCUGGGAGUGUGCUGACGCUGAGACACGAAAGCCAGGGGAGCGAACGGG